rnacentral:rRNA from 1 species
UCGGGAAUUUUGGGCAAUGGGCGAAAGCCUGACCCAGCAACGCCGCGUGAAGGAUGAAGUAUUUCGGUAUGUAAACUUCGAAAGAAUAGGAAGAAUAAAUGACGGUACUAUUUAUAAGGUCCGGCUAACUACGUGCCAGCAGCCGCGGUAAUACGUAGGGACCAAGCGUUGUUCGGAUUUACUGGGCGUAAAGGGCGCGUAGGCGGCUCUGUAAGUCACUUGUGAAAUCUCUGAGCUUAACUCAGAACGGCCAAGUGAUACUGCAGUGCUAGAGUGUAGAAGGGGCAAUCGGAAUUCUUGGUGUAGCGGUGAAAUGCGUAGAUAUCAAGAGGAACACCUGAGGUGAAGACGGGUUGCUGGUCUAACACUGACGCUGAGGCGCGAAAGCCAGGGGAGCAAACG